AAUCAACGCUGGCGGCGUGCCUAACACAUGCAAGUCGAACGAGAAAGUGGGGGCAACUCCAUGAGUACAGUGGCAGACGGGUGAGUAACACGUGAACAACCUACCCUUGAGUGUGGAAUAACACCGCGAAAGCGGUGCUAAUACCGCAUGACAUCUCCGAAUCGCAUGAUCUGGAGAUCAAAAGCGCAAGCUGCUCGAGGAGGGGUUCGCGCCUGAUUAGCUAGUUGGCGGGGUAACGGCCCACCAAGGCCACGAUCAGUAGCCGGCCUGAGAGGGCGAACGGCCACACUGGAACUGAGACACGGUCCAGACUCCUACGGGAGGCUG
rnacentral:rRNA from 1 species